rnacentral:tRNA from 1 species
GGAGUUGUGGCUCAGUGGUAGAGCACUCAUCUGGCAUGUGUGAGUCACUGGGUUCAAUCCUCAGCACCA